ensembl:lncRNA
GCAAAGAAAAGCGUCUGGACUUCUUUAAGUUGCUUGAAGAUGUUUCACCUCUCAUCCGAGCAUUAUUAUUAUUAUUAUUAUUAUUAUUAUUAUUAUUAUUAUUAUUAUUAUUGGUGGUGGUGGUGCUUUUGCUGUUUUAUUUGUACAUUUUUGUAUUUUUAUUCUAUAUAAUAAUGUUUUGGGUCUGAAACUCUACUAGUGGCAAAGUGCAUGCCAUCAUUAUCACUUUCUACUUCCUAAGAGCUUCAAACUCGAUGACCCAGAGUUGGACCAUUUCCAAAAAGGGAUCAUCCGAUUCUAACCGCCUGUCGCAGAGCUUGAUUCUUGAGUGUGUGGUGAUCAGACGGUCCACACUGUUAGAAGAAUGAUACACCAGAAGGCAUUUCUUUUGUUCGAUGAUCAUUCUCACACUGUUGAUAAGCCUUUUUAGUGUGUUAUAUUAAAUGCAAUGUUGUUAUCCAGAGUGUUGCUAAAUCUGUGUGGAAAUAUCAGUGUGAGCAACAGAAAAUGCCAGGCUGGUCAGUGCCAGUAUUCUAAGUAACACAGUUUGAUGAAAGAAAAAGUUAUGUCUUGUGCCUUUGUGCUAAUUGAUGUUAUUUGGAGUUCGCUGGAUAAGUGGCCAGGAAAAUUGAUACAUUGAGGAGUUGAACACUUGCUUACCAGCAUAGCUGGACUGGCCAUCGGGCAUUUGCCCGGUGGGCUGCUGGCGAUUUUUUGUUUUUAUGGGCCGAUCGAUUUUUUUUUUUUGGAAGGGUAUAAAUAAUGAAAGGUUUGGCCAAUUGGUCAUGAUCGACUCUGGGCUGGACCAAUUACAGCCGAGGAGGUCGGAUGCACCCUCCCCCUUGUUUAGCAAUCUUAUAGACGAACUAAAGAAAAUGGAGAACAAAAAAAGGAAAGGAGGUGCAGAAAAAAUUAGGGCCAAAAAGAAACAAGCCCUUCAGGCAGACGCUGCCAAAUGUGUAAAAAUAACUGAAUUGUUUGGCGGUAGCUAUGGCAUAGCUUCCACAGAUUUAGCAACAUCAGCAAGUGGUGGAGGCCAGCAGGUGGAUAAGGGAAAGGGGAGGCAAGAGGAGGAGAGACCCGAGGCGGCCGCCGGUCAUAGUGGCAGAGGAACUGAACUUCAGGCCUUUUGCCCACAACCGAGAUGACAGACCUUGCCGACC